AUUGAACGCUGGCGGCAGGCCUAACACAUGCAAGUCGAGCGGAUGAAGGGAGCUUGCUCCUGGAUUCAGCGGCGGACGGGUGAGUAAUGCCUAGGAAUCUGCCCGGUAGUGGGGGAUAACGUCCGGAAACGGGCGCUAAUACCGCAUACGUCCUGAGGGAGAAAGGGGGGGAUCUUCGGACCUCACGCUAUCCGAUGAGCCUAGGUCGGAUUAGCUAGUUGGUGGGGUAAAGGCCUACCAAGGCGACGAUCCGUAACUGGUCUGAGAGGAUGAUCAGUCACACUGGAACUGAGACACGGUCCAGACUCCUACGGGAGGCAGCAGUGGGGAAUAUUGGACAAUGGGCGAAAGCCUGAUCCAGCCAUGCCGCGUGUGUGAAGAAGGUCUUCGGAUUGUAAAGCACUUUAAGUUGGGAGGAAGGGCAGUAAGUUAAUACCUUGCUGUUUUGACGUUACCAACAGAAUAAGCACCGGCUAACUUCGUG
rnacentral:rRNA from 1 species